rnacentral:rRNA from 1 species
UACGUAGGGGGCGAGCGUUGUCCGGAUUUAUUGGGCGUAAAGAGCGUGUAGGCGGUUAGGUAGGUCCGUUGUGAAAACUCGAGGCUCAACCUCGAGACGCCGAUGGAAACCAUCUAACUAGAGUCCGGAAGAGGAGAGUGGAAUUCCUGGUGUAGCGGUGAAAUGCGCAGAUAUCAGGAAGAACACCCGUGGCUAAGGCGGCUCCCUAGUACGGUACUGACGCUGAGACGCGAAAGCGUGGGGAGCGAACAGG